GAUUAUACAGUAUGGGUUGCUUGGUAACCAGUCCUGAGUAAAACAAAGAGGAUAGUCAGAGGAGUUCUCCCUGGAAUAAUAAUAUCUUGCAGUUAUGGCCAUCAGAAAGAAAAAACCAUCACAAGGAAGCGGUGUUCAGCUGUGCUCUAAUCUAGGGAGGAUCCUCAAAUGCCCAUUUCAGAACAAAGAGAUAAAAUGAGGCACUUCCCACUGCGAUGUCACUGCUGAGUCAUCAGCAAAGCAAGUGAUGCUCGUAUCCUGAAAGGGCCUUCUAGGCAGUGCAGUCCUGGGCAGAGACAAGCUACUCCCACAAUUAUGAGUGGUCCCUUAUCCCUGGGCACAGCGGCGAUGGAGCAACACAUUUCCCAGGGCUGCUGUGGUAUGGGUAGAAUGGACACAAGUGGAACAGAGAGCGUUACUGCCUCCCCCUUCGGAGCCAAACGGCUACUGAAAACCAGCACGCACGUAAGGCUGGACUGUUUGGAGCAAGAUAUUCUAAGGCUGAAUUUCUCUGGGAACCUGGUGCCUCCUGCCUUAAUGUCCCUUGAAAAUCUCGUCCUUAAUUAAGAGCUUGCCAAUUUGUUUUGCAAGAACUAAUGGAAGGGAAGAAUUCUGUGAUAUUUUCCCUGGAGUUAAAGAAAUGUACACUUAACUUGCUUUAGCACAUCUUUCUGCUGAUAAAAAGCAGGUUCUGUUUUUAAAAAGGCCUUCUCUUAAUUCAAGAUCUGCAGCUUGUCGUGGGAUUUCACCAGAAAUGACUUGGAAAUUUCUGAUUUUAACAUUUUCUCAUUAGAAUACGUUAAACAGUCAAAACUAAAGACAUUUUCAGGAAGCUACUACUUUCUUCAGGCAUGAGCUUUUUUAGGAUAUAACAAGGUUUCAAGCCUGUAAAAUCUUCUCUCAUGAAAAUGAGAAAAACAAAAUCUAUUCUGAAAUUUUAGUUGACUUGUGCUCUUUUCUUUGAAAACAUAUAACAAAACAUUUUGGUUACCCAUGUUUGGAAUGGGUUUUGCAAACACUUUCACAGCUUUAAUCCUCUUUCAUGAGAAGGAAAAUUCAAAAUCAUUUUGCCCUAGGAUCAUGUUUCCAAGACUUCCAGCAUGGGGUCUUAAGCCACCCCAGCAAUCAUUUUAACGUGGUCUUAGUGCUAGUCUGCCUUAAAGGAGACAGAUGCACAGAUGCACAGUCAUCUUGAAUAAAAGAGCAUUGUGAAUCACUAGUUUUCCUUCACAGAUGGAGGAAGGUGCAAGUAGUUUCUUCCAGUAAUAAUCUCUUUCUGGAAAACACCACCACUCCUCCUACCCACCUGUAAUCCAAAAGAGAGAUUUGAAUCCUGCCUGGCAGGCAGCUGGAGUAGAGCUAUGGAUUCGUGUUACUCUUUAAAGAUAUAUGGGGAGAGGGCAAGCUUUGAUCUUUGGGGCAUUCAGCAGAUUAAGAACUUUGCAAGCUGGCACUGCUCCAAACGCAGCCCACUUGAACAGUUCUCAGCUUGGUGGAAAGGACAGGCAGACCAGGAUCUUUUAAAAUUGCUUGUGAUUCUAUGUGCUGUCAGUUUGGGGUACCCAGCCAGAGAGCUUCAUUUUCAGUGUAGAAGGUGUGAAGAAUUUCUUUUUUAAAAACAAAGACCCAUUCCAGUGUCUUCUGUUGGGCUCAUUUGAAAACAAAUUGUGGAAGCAAUUAGAUCUUGCACCGCAGAGUCUAAUGGAAUCUGUAAUAGCUACAGAUAAGACUGCAAAUUAGUGGGGUAAGUAUUGCAUAUCACUUCAUUCCUGCGUUCUCACCUGGAGGAGGCUGCUGUCACAGACAGGUCUUCUGACUGCAAAGACAUUGGUUCUCAUUAGCUAUUGCAAUGUUAUAGGCAUACUGUCCUGUACCGUACAGAAGUCUGUUUUUUUCUUAAUUUGUUUGUAUAUAUCUUCAUGCUAAAUCCCUCCGACUAAAUCGGAGCUACUGACUAAUUCAAUAAAUCCCAAGCCUUAUGAUACUGGCGAUCUAUCAUCUUCUAGAAUUUAUUAUGUAUUUGAGAUCAUCCACCAAUGUCUGCAAAUAAUCCUUAAUCAGUAGCAGAGCUACCUGUGUUAUUUUGAGGAACUGAAAAGUUUGAGUCUCUUCAUUCCCCAUCCACAAAUAGCUAUCUACAGAGGGGGCUGAAAUCUGAACAAAAUAUUUACUUUAAGUACUGGUUAAAAUGUGGAACAUGAUUAAGGAUUUAAAAUGCUUUGGUUUUGUCUGGUUUUUGUUCGCUCUAAGUUUUGCUGCUUGGCAUUUGAACAGUCUAACUUAAUUUGACUGCAGAAAGAGAUUGUGUUUGUUCCCCAGUUAAACAAUUUUUUUUUUCCCUUCAGCCAGGCUCUCUGUGUUUGUG